UUAAAAAAUUAUAAAUCAAGCACAGAAACACCGUUAUUAGUAAUGAUGGUUCAUACGACUUGUAUAUUAAUUAAACAUGCGUUCACAUUUUUUUCUUAAGUUUUUAAUUAUUUUUUUCUUUCACUUUGAUAUUCAUUGUCAUUUUUGUUUGUUUGAUAUAUCAUCUAAUCAAGCGUAUCACCAUCCUAUCGUAUCUCAAUGAGAAGCUAAAAUCCAUCACAACACCCCUCCCCCGCCGCGAAUCUCAGAAAACCAAUUUAACAUGUUUAAUGAAUUAAAGAAAUUGUGAUUUUAACUUAAAAAUGUUAUCCGUUCCGUCCCGUUUUCCGUUCCGCAUUUUAGCAACACCCUGCAGGCCACGUUAGCGGGUAUUAGUUUUACCCAGUUAACUUGCACGUGCUAGUGAUGUACUUUCCGGUGUUUUCCAUAUGCAGAAAAGGAUUAAUUAACACGGAUAAACGUUUCUUUUGUGAUGAUAAGCAAAAAGGAUCCAUAUUGUGCUCUUAUUGGAUUAUCAUUGUGAUGUUGACCAAUAUAGUUUAGAUCACCAUGUAAAUUGAAAUGGAACUUCAUCAAAGACCCACAACAGUGAGACACACUUGAUAGUUUUUCAACACAGACACAUUUAUCCGGAAAAUGAAUCUGGCUUCACACCACAAAGUUUUAACAGGACAGAGACAAUUUGAUGAGCUUUCAUUCAAAAGGUUCCUCGUUGCUGAAUGAAAAUUAGGGCUGGAGCUAUGUACCCGAAUGUUAACAUUACCGCCUAUCGAAAAUGCAUGAGUGGACUAUAACCAUAUAUAUAUAUAUAUAUAUAUAUAUA